rnacentral:misc_RNA from 1 species
CUGUUCUUCUACACAAAAAAAUGGGUACCAAACACCAGGGUUCAGGUCUCUGAACGAAACGAAAUUACUGUUUUUUUUAACAUUGGGAUUCCGUUGUUAUACGAGAACAUAGUAGAAGCAACUGGGAACUUCAAUGCAAGCAAUUGUAUCGGGAGUGGAGGCUUUGGUGCCACUUACAAGGCUGAAAUUUCUCCAGGGACACUAGUGGCUG